GAGAAAAUUUUUUUUCCCGAACCAGGUGAGUGGGGAGGGACCGUGGGGGUUUGUUUUCUGGGGGCUCCUUCCAGAGGGUUUUCCCCAAAUUUGCCCUAAACUAGGACAGAGGUGUAGUAGGUAACCAAAAGUGAACAGGGGUGAUUUGGAGCUUUUCUGUGGCGCCACAAGCUUGGCAUGAUGUGGUUGCUCAUCUCAUUGCUGCCUGAAGGAGCAGAGGACGUGCUUGUCAACUUCCACGUGGAAAAGCUCCUACCAGUGAACGUACUCUCUGCCUACAGAUGCAUUUCUUCAGUUUUAACCCUCAUUUGAAAAACCCUUAGCUAUAGAAACUUAUGACUCACUUCUGUGAGGAGGCUACUAUUAGGAAGUAUUUAAUUACCGUUCUAGAAACAAACUUUCUUUUUUAAUCACUUCAAUCAGUUACUUUGUUUUUGGGAUGGUAUUACUCUGGUCUGUGAAGCUUGUUACAGGAGUGAUACUUUUGAUUUGUGGAAUGCCCUCUGGAUGAUUUCCAAAGGAAACUCUGUAUAGCUUUGUUGAGGCCUUGUUUGCCUGUGCUGUGGCUGGGAGUAUGGGAGGGAUGCUUAAGCACUUUUGCACAGUUUUAAAACACACACACAAAAAAAGUGUUAUGUGGUGUGUAGACUGCUCAGGCAUAGUGGCUAAAUUACCACUGGUGUGAAGUUUGUAUCUAGCAGGCAGGUGCUGUGCUGUUGCUAAUAAGUCAUAAGAAGGACACUUAACUAUGUUUUUGAAACCUUUGUUGGCUUUCUGACUUUACAGAUAGUGUGUGCUCAGCCAUGUAGUUGCUGGAUAGGGCUCAAAACUAUUUUUUCCCAUAGGAUUUUUUUUUAAUCCAUACCUUUUGUGGAAUGUAUCAGUUUAAAGUUAGGCAUCUGUAGUCAUCCCCAGAAGACUGCCAGCGCAACAAAAACCAUAACAUAUUCAUAUAGAUAAAUACAAUUGCACAUACUUACAGUAUUCUGAUUGCCUGACCAGUUAUAGAAGUGCUGUGGGGAUUCCAGUUCCUCAAUCUUCAUUUUGUGGGUAUGUGUUAUGUGAUUUUUUUUUUUUUUUUUUUUUGUUACUGUGUUUCUGGGAAAGCUGGGGAAAUCUUGUAUUCAAAUGCACAAUUGUGUUUUGGGCAGAAUCUCAGAAGAUACAAGAUGGUGUGGUGCCAAAAAAGAUCCUGUGUGAUGUAAUACUGCCUUAUUGUGAUGUAUUGCUGCACUUAAUUCCUCAGUUAAGUUUCUUGGAAAAACUGCAGAAUUUAAGGCUUGAAGAGCUGGAAUGUUAAUGGUCCCUCUUAUUUUUUAUCAUGCCUAAAAGGAACUGCAUCCUGUUAUCAUCUGUGUCAGAGUGGUAACAGUGCUUUUUUAUUUCAGCUUGUUUCUGUUGCUCUGGGGGCUUGGCCUUAGCAGAGUGACUGUAACCGAAGGUAGCACUGGAGCUGCUGGGAUUGCUUUUGAAAGUGAUUCCAGUAGAAUGGACGCCAUAGCGAGCUGUUGCUGGGUUAAAAGCAGGGCUGUAACUCUAGCACUUAGAAUAAACAGUUCCUAUGUGUGUUUUGAUGUUCUAACUAGCUCUGGUGUUCAAAACAAACUGAUGUAAGAGACAAAAAAGUCAGAUUCUUUUAACUCCUGCUUGUGCAGAAGGUUCACUUCUAUUUUCUUAGUGUGUAUAUGCAUGUAAGAAACAAAUAUUUAAAUCAUUACAUCAGUUUGUUAAAUGAAUGUUAACUAUUUUGGGAGUAGAUGCAGUUUCACAAUUUCAUCAGGUGUUGGUAAUGCCCAUAUUGCAAUGUGGUUUUAAUAAAUUGCAGGAGUAACAAACACAGUGGGGGUUGUCUCUGCCAGUUUGUUUGCUAAAUCCUGUGCUUGAGUAGGGGAGAGUUUCUGCCUCAUCACUGUUACCUCAAAUAACACUUUAAAUUUUUUUUAGAAAUAGCUUUCCUAUCUUCCUGCAAGCUGUGCUCUUGGAAAACUGAACUCUUCCCACCUCCCUUCUGUAAGGAGCCAGGUGAAGGGUGAAGACUGCUUCAGGAACUCAGGGCAGGCAGUAAAAAGCAGCUGUUUUAGCAGGGUGGGUGUAUCUGAUCACAGCUUUUCUCUCACACAUGCUAUCAGGAGCUGUUGUAAGCUUGUGCUUGCUGUUUUGUUGCCACUGUUCCAUGUUUGAUGGCUCCUUUAUUAGCUGUUCAGUCUGGUAUUUCAGCCUUGCUGGAAUCAAUAGAAAAAUUUGCUUGGGUUUCAGGUCAGCAGUGUGGCCUGGUAGUGAUAAAAGCUAUCUGCACACUAGGCCGGAUCAAAAGGAGCAGAACCAGGACAUCAAGUGAAGUAUUCUUUCUCUCUGCUGGUCACUCAGCAGCUGCAUGUGGCACACCGUGCCUGAGUUUUGCUCCAUCACUACAAGAAAGAUGUGGAAAGCCCUGUGCAAGUCCAACAGAGCCCAUCUUCAAGGUGGAGAAGGGGCUGAGGGAGCUGGGCUUCUUCAGCCUGGAAAAAAAAUUGGUGAGUGGAGACCCAGUAGCACAAACCAAAGCAGGGAGUGGGUACCAUAUGGGCAGAAUUAAGUAACUGAGCUUUUGGGAUCUAUUUGUUCUUCACAGGGGCUCUAGAAUUUGUGGAAGUUAAUAUUUUUUUUAAUGCUUUUCUAAUCCCUGUUCAGGCGUGAUGGGAUGGGCCACCAAGAUCUGAGAGUAUCACAAGAUAAAGGUAAUGUGGAUAGGCAAGUGGUGCUUAUUAACUCUCACCCUGAAGUUAGAGAGCUCUUCCUUUUACUCUUUUUACUAAUGAGGUUUUUUUCUUUACUCUUUAAAGCUUUUUGUUUGUUUUUGGAUGCUCUUCCUGUAAAUUUGCUUUAGCAGAUCAUCUCCUUUAGCUGUGGUCAAUUUGGUUUUUCAGAACCAGAAUGACUUACUUGGGUGAUGUGUUAGCAUUACGGGUUGUGCAUCUGGGAAAGCUGAGGGAGGAGGUAUAAAAAUAAGAGGAAAAUAUCAUGUUUGUAUCAUAAUUUCUUGGCUGGUAAAGUAGGACUUGUAAGUGGAAAGAGCAGGGAAGAGAAUAAAAUAGAGCUGAGGAAAUAAGGCAAAGACAAGGCAGGUGUUGGUGAGCCUGAAGUGAAAGGAAUGAAGCAUUCAGAGGAAAUUGCCGGCUGUAAAUUUUCAAGGCUGUCUGGGCAACACACAACUGAAACAAUCUGUUAAUGUCGAGUGUCAUUGUAAACAGCUCCAGCCUCCACCUCAUCCUUCAGGAAAGGCUCUUUCUCCAUCCGUGCCUUUAUGGGGGGCGUGUCCUCACUGCUGAUUUUCACUUUACCACGCUGUGACCGGUGCCUGAGCUUUCUUCUCAAAGCAGGGGAAGAUUCCUUGUAGUUUCUACUUUCUCCUGCAGCUGUCCCACUUCAUUCUGGGAUUAUUGACAUGAUAGGACCAGGAAAUAUGUUUGGCUACUGAAAGGAAUGCAGAGAAUUUGUUCUGUCCUUCCACUCUUGCCUUGUGUCAUUCUAGAAAUGGCAGAACUAAUCCUGCCUGAGCAUCCCUCUUCUCAUUGAACAUCUGCUGCCAUUCUUAAUUGUUUCAUUUUUAUUUUGGGAGAGCUUCUAAUGUACUUUUUUUAUUCUUUAGUUACUUUUGUUUGCCUCCAACUUUACUGGGUCUUUGGCCAAACAAAUUUUGCAUUUCAUUUCAUUUAUUCUUAUGUAGAAGAAAACAACUGUCUGUUUUGAUGAAUGUCCCAGAUCAAUGAUUUCAGAGAGGCUGGAGUAGGAAGAAUAUUAACAGCAUUUGCAGAUGAUCAUAAGUCAGGUGUUACAAACACAAUUAGGAAGAAAUAAUACAACAUAACCUAAAAAUCUUGGAAACAGGAAAUUGAAUGUAACUGAGUGGAGAGGAGGAAUUAAAAAAUGAUGUGUCCUUGGGAGGGGUGAGGGGGGAAAUAAGAAGUUCAGUCCAAGGGAAAAUUUGGAAAACAGAGCUGAGGGAGAAAGUGGAAAGUAAAUAUUCCUUUGCUUGAUGACAGGGCACAGGAAAGGACAACAGUUAGGGAGUAUCUAUGGGCAUUGCUUGGAACAGCAGCAGGGUAGUGACCUAAAGUAAUUUCAAGAGCACUCACAGAAUAUUUUAACUGAACCUGAGUGUCUCAUUAUCAAUGUAUUUCAAACAGAUGGGAACAAUUUCAGAGGUGAUUGGCGAUUAACACUUGAGAGAGUAAUGGUAUGAAAUAUGUAAAACAUGACUGAGGAAAAGCCAGAUAGAGAUGUACUCAUCAAUAAACUUCCUAAAGUCAUGAACUGUUAAUCAGUUGAUUAAUAUUUUGAGAUAAUUAAAAUCGCUGUCAGAAAGGUUUAGGCAUUACACUUCAAACUGUAAAAUAACUUUUCACUGCACGUACAAACCCUUGAAAAACAGAUUCUAAGGUGGAACUGGGAAAAAGCACUCUAUAUUACAGGGAAAAAAAUUCUCAAUCUCUCCAUCUGCAGUCUUUUAAAGAUGCCAUCUUUUUGGUGUCUUACUGAUAACUGAAGUUUUCUUAGCCAAACCUUGCUUGCCAUAUUCAUAUGAUUCGUGCUGAUGCUGAAAUGAGGUCAGAAAACAAAGGUGAGAGUUUUCCCCCUUCUUCUAGUAAAGUUCAAGUGAGUUCAGAAAAUUUUUACUGAAACAAGUCUUUAACGUGGGACUCUAUGUAAACUAAGUGAGCACAGUAAGAUAUAAAUACUCCUCUUGCAUUAUAUAGCUAUAAAGUAAUGCUCAUAACUUAGGGGAAACCAGCUGUUCUUCAAGAACUGUUUAACUGUAAUAAGCUUGGCACAAAUUCUGUUAGGCUCAGCUCUAGGAACAAUUCUAGAAUCUGCAGCUGUGAACCAUUUUCUGUGAUGCUGUGACUGUCAGGAAGAUGGUAUGAAGUCUACUGCGUGUCCCAGCAGAGCUGUUCUGCUGACACAGAGACUGCCAUAAAGCCAUGGUAAUAAAAUCUUGCAAGGUGGCAAACCCCAAGUUGUCACUCUUUUGUUAAAUCAGAUCUGUUCAUCUCUGAACCAUUCAUCAGUUCUGGAAGUGUUGGGGGGUUUUUUGCCUUUUUUUUUUUUUUUUUUUUUUUAAAUCCCUGCUUUUGAUACAAUUUCUUAGCUUUACUUUUUGGUCUAACCCAUUGCAACUUUUAAAGGGUUUGGGGUUUUUUAGGAAAGUUAGUAGAAUUUGUGUUCCAAAAUACCAACCAAACUGUAAGACUCGGGAAUCCGAGAUAAAAUAUUCUAUAGUGUCAGUGCUCUAAAUGCUAUUGGCAGAGACUGUUGAUUCUCCCCAGUAAACUUCAUACAGUGUUAAAUCUAACAAUUGUCUCUGGGCAAUUGUCUGUUACUUAGGUCCAUUUUGUAUUUCAAAUGGAACUGCUAACUUCAUUGUGAUAAUGUCUUUAUUUGGGACACUACUUGAGCUUCCAGCUUUUGAGGCAAUAAUCUUCUCUCUAACAAGUAAAAUAACUCAAAUAGGAAUAGCUCUACUAAAGAUGAUUGUUUUGUCUUUAGUAAAUUGAUAUUACAAAAUCAGUGGAGCCCUGUCCUCUCUAUGGUUUAGUAGGCAUGUGGUAACUUACAGUCAUUAAUCUGAUUUAAACUGAAAAACCCACUUUAUAUCCACAGGUAACAGUAAUGCCCCUUCUGGAAUAGCAGUCAGCCUUCUGUAGCUGGGAUUGUGGUUCACAGGACAUGAGAGUGUGGUUAGGUGAGGACAUUCCCAAGCCAAAAGCCACCUGAUCUCAGGUAGUGAUAAUGGUGUUUGCGCUCCUUCCUUCACGCUGAGCCAAUUGUGUGAAAUACAAGGCAGCAUGAAGUCCCCUAAAAAGCAUACAGCUAAAAAACCAAGCUACAUUCAAAUGCAUAUAAAGUAAUUUCAAAUGCACAGGUAGGUUUUACAUUAAAAAUCUAAAAUUAUGAAGUCAAAGCCUUUGACUUCAAGGGAUGUCAUUUCUUUUUUUCUACAAUGCAUGGUCUAGCAUAUUCUACUUUGGGCAGCACUGUUUAGAAAUUCAUUAGUAUAUGUAAGUAAUUAGCAGCCUGGCUUGAGGACAUAAAGAUUCAACUAAAGGUACAUAUUGCUGGUGUAUGGGAUAGACACAUAACCCAUACAAAGAGCAUGCAUGGAGUGCUAAUUUUACAUAAUUACUACAGCUGUAACACUGAGAAAGCCAAUAGGAAAUGGCUUUUGGAUAUAGAAUAUAAAAUGUAUCUCAAAGAAUGUGAUGGGUUGAAAAUGGUACUCUUAAUACAGUAGAAACCAUGAAGGGGACAGUUCUGUACAGGAUUUAGUAAUUUUCCCCAAUUUUUUAUCUCUUGUGACCUUGAUCUUUUUCUGUCAGUUCCACCAAUCUUGUAGGUGGAGUGGAAGUUGGCACUUUUGAAUAUUUCUUCCUCUAAGAGCAGGAAGGAGCAGUGAGAGUAAGAGAAAAGAGCUUAAUUGUUGCGUUGCUACCUAAGGUAAGGGUUGCAGAAACUUUUCCAGGAGCUGGGUAAGGUUGGUGGCACUCGCAAGUUCUGGGUGCAGCCCAGUGAUCAGCAGAAAUAUGAUGGCUGUCAGGAAUGACACAAAUGUGUGGUGAUGGGGCAGGCUCCCUGGGGUCAGGAACCCAGGGAGUCCACUUGAGUCAGGCACAGCAAGGGCAGCACUGAGCACAGACCUCAGAGAAGAACCAAGGAAUUAAGCCUGAACUGAAAUGUGGCAGUGGCCAGAGUGUGGGAUGGGGGUCCCAGGAGAAGCUCUUCAGGGCAAUGAUGCACUCAGGAUCCAAACAGACUCUGAACUUCUUCAGGUAGCUUUUAUUAGCAGGAUAGCUUUACUAUAGAUGGGGGAAAAGCCUACUUUGCACUUGGAUUAAAGUUUAGCCACUUUAAUUUUCACCCCAGCAGAGCUCCCUGUUACAGAGAGGAAGCAGUGCUAAGUGCUCUCACCAAGAACACCUGAACAGCAUAUUCUUUGUAGAAAGUUUACCCUUCCUAUUAAUUUAGGUUAAUUGUAGCUUUGCAAUUGCUACCCGCAAGAGGAAAAGAAGAGUGUUUCUACCUCUGAGAUGUAAUUUGUAUUUAUGGUUUUUUUUCUGUAAUUGAAGCUACCAUAAGUUUUGGGUCCUGGUAGUUGAAGGCACAGUGCACACUCAGAGCCAAAGACUGAUGACAUGCCCCCAGAAAAUUUACCAAGUCAGAAAAUAAUGUAGGAAAAAGUCUCACAACAUGCUCACAAAGUGAGAGUUGAGAAGUUUCUGGACUCUGGCUUGCUCAUGCUUGCAGAAGAAAUAUUUUUGACCUGAAGCUGUGAAGUCAAACAUGUUUGCUACAAGACCACUGCAACAACAGGUGAGAUGGUGGCCUUGGAAGGCAUCCAAAAUCGGUGUGUUUCAGGAAGAAGUUGGCAAAGCUCCAAAGAAAUAGGUUUUAUUCUGCUUUUGGGGUGGUUGUUUUUCCUCUGCAGAUUGUAGCCUGCAUUUAUCAAUUGAGUUAUUUUGCAUUUAUUUCCAUUGUUCUGAGACAAUAAAUUCUCAGUGGCAAGAGUUGCUAAAAUACUGUAAGUACGGCAUUUAAUUCCCUUCCUUGUCUGGAAAAAAGCUCUUUCGUUUGUAAUCACUCUUUGAAUAGUAGUCUGUGACCCAGGGAAGCUAAUUUCAGCAGCAAUAAAAGCUGUGUCUUUUGUGCCUUCAGAAAAUAAAAUUUUAAGGACCUUGGAAAAUUUUUGGAACUUGACCAAUCUGCAAAUUCAGUAUGCCUAUUUCUGUGUCCCAGUAUUGGGAGAAGGAGCCUCUAAAGUCUUCUCAGAGACCUAGAAUAGCUUUUAUUUUUUAACUAACUUCCCUAUGCAGUGUAGUUCAUAUUUAUUUUGUUAAUAAAGAGAAUUUUACUUAAGUUUUGGGAGGAUAAUGGUUACAUGACUUGUACUGGAAGAAAACUUCCCACUAAAUCUUAAUGUAUUACAUUUCUGUGUCCUGGAGGGAGCUGUUCAGCCAGGUUAGCAAUUAAACAGCCAACAGGAGUAUUUUACUGCUGAGCUGAGAGAAGUCAUCAGCUCCAUCAUCUUGCAUCUAAAACACUUGUGAAUCUAAUAAUUAUUUUUGUCAGCCAGUCCUUUGUGCUUUCCAUCUCAGCAACACUCAUUGUCAAACAGCAAUUUCACUUGUUAAUCUUCCUCCUGUCUCCUGCUGAGGUUGUCUUUUUGGCCUGUUUCAGAUCCAGCGUGUUCCUUCUUUUGACAAUGGUAUUUGAGUUUUGCUCAAACCUUUUCCCAAUUGCCUCCUUGUGGGGUUAGAAAAAUAAAAACAAAACCAAUUCUGGUUUGUUUUGCAAAUCUACCCUUAGAUUAUUACUCAUGCAAAAUUCCAAAUUGCACUUUGAAAAGAGGGCUUAGGGAUGUUGAUGUUUUACCAUUUGCUUCUCUGUCAGCAGCGUUGGGAUCUUGGUCCAUGAAAUUCCAAGUCUGUCCUGUAAAUUUGGGGUUAUCAUCUCAGUGCAGGCCUAGCAAAGGUGUUCCUAUACUGUAAGUGCUUUCAGGUUAUCCAUGCUCCAAUCCUUUUCUGUGUUUAUAUGGACAUCUUCAUGAGCUGCAAAGAUACUCCUGGUGCAGCCAUCAGAGAAAUGUCCACUGCUACCACUUCCCUUGACUCCUAAAGAUGCCCAGUUUGGCUGGUUUAGUUUGUGCUGUGCCGUCUGUCUCCUUCAGGAAAUCACCACUGACAGGAUGCCUGGUUAGAAGCAAAACCUCAGUGCUGUGUGACUCUUGUCCUGCUUUGCAGAGGAGUGGUGACAGUUUGCUGAGUCUGGAAACACAUUUCUCUUAUCUCCAGGACAAGCACAGUGACUGUUGCCUGCUUCCACCAUGAAGGACUAUCAGUGCUGUUCCAUCUUGGUUACAGACAUGACUAAUCCCUCUUACUACUUUUUCUUUUCCCCCCCCCCCCAGAACUGCCAAUUAAGCUUUUUCUAUGAUCCUGCUCUAAUAUGUUCAGAUUAAAUGGCGGUGGGUGACUAUAAACAGCCCUACUACAGGUAUACUCAGUGCAGCUCAUUUCAGCAGAAAUGUGUUAGAGAAAUUGUGAGUCAGGUGGAGAAGCAGCAUAGAGCUUCAGGCAGGAGGGAAUUAAAAUGUCCUGGAGACAGACAGAUAUUUGCCUUGGCUUCCUGUUCACUUUAUCUCUGAUUCCUUCCUCAUCCCUUUGUGGGGUGAAGACUGCUAUCAUUGCCUUCCUCAGCAGAUCAGCCCUUCAGAGCAGGAGCAAUCCCAUUCCAUGAGUCUGUACCUUCUCCAUGGUGAGUUUUAAGGUGAUGUGCAGUGAGAAGGGCACAAGGUCCUAAAAAGCUUUGUGUACAAAGGAUAUAAUUGGUAUUUAUUUACCACCCCUAGAUUCUCUAGGGUCUCGCUUCUUUAGCAGCAAAUGUGGUCAACGCUCACAAGAGAUGUUUUCCCACUUGUCACUCCCAGAAUCACAGAAUGGGUUGGGUUGAAAGAGGCUUUAAAGCCCAUCUUGUUCCAACCCCUUUCCCUGGGCAGGGACACCUUCCCCUAGGAUACCCUUUGGAUAUCUAGGUAUACCUGAGCUACUCAGGAAUUAAGGCAAAUGGCCCAGCUGUCCAUAGCAGCAGUGAAACUGGGGUAUUUACCCUGCAAAAUGAUGUUAUCACAGCAUUGCUUUGGGAACAGGACACUAAAUUCCAUUAAGUCAUGCAGCUGUGAUAAUAUGGUUUCUUUACAGUGGUAUGUCUGUUAUUUCUGGGUUUAUCUGUAAAAGUGUUGCCAUCCAAACAUUUUCUUGCCAAAUGCCCCUAAAUUGUUCCAAACUUAAUCAGUUGGGGCUUACACCUUAAUCUGGGGUAAGCAGGCUUUGGUGUGGAGCAGUUCUUCCACUCCUGGCUGCAUAUUCCCUGCUCUCCCCACGGGUCACAUCUGGGCUUGUGGCACAGCCUGGGUCGGGCCAGCAGAGAACAAACCUGCCAGAACCCAUUUGCCUUUCAGAACAACUGUUGAGCUGAUCCGCACAACCACUGGGUCUCAUGAGUUGUGGAAGAGGGAGAGGCAAGCACUGCCUCAUUCUUUGCCUGCCUGGAGUUGUCCUGGAUUGGAGGAAAAAUUAAGAUGUUCUUACUAUGAACAUUUUGGUCCAGGAGCUCCUGGCUUAAUGCAGAAAAACAUUGCUUGUAUAUUCCAGCCCAUUAGACCUGAAACCUAGACUGGCUGCUUCUUUCUUUUUCAUAUUUAUUUGAUACAUUACUUUCUAUUAAAAUAAUUAAACCAUGAAUCUUCACAUUAUUUACAGUUUUUCUCAUGUUAUUAAACUGUAAUUUGACCAAGAGAUAUGAGCAUAAUUUACCAUGUGAUUGCAUAGCUUUUAAUGUGUGCUUCUGCAGUGAAUAGCAGCUAUUAAGCUAAGUGGUUUGCCCUGUAAAAUGACAUGAUGUCAUAAUAUUUCUCUGAAAAUACAAAAUUAAGUAUCAUUAAAUCCUAUAAUUAGGUAGGUAUAGGUUAUAUUUGCAACUUGAAAAAUGGAGUCAGGCAGCCUGAUUCUUCCUGUUGUAGUAUUCCAGGAAUUUUGUCAAAACUGUACAGGAGCAAGUGUUGUGCUUUACAGAACAUGAGCUGCUUCCCCAGCCCUGUAUUUCAGUGUAAUUCUCUUUUUGUUCUCCUUCCAGGAACUGGGGUUUUCCAACAUGUUUGUAACAGCAAAGCAACUGUUCCAGGAGUGUGUAUAUUCUUUUUUAAAAUAAUAAAUCUCUUUUUUGUGUGUAUUUUACUUGUUCUUUAGAAAUCAUGUGGAUUUCAUAGAUGAUAGUGUAGUGUGAUCAUAAACUAAUGUUUUGGGUUUUUUUUUUUUUUUGCUUUGGACAAAUAUUUUGUCCUCUUUUUUCCCUUGUCAAAUUUUCAUAAUGUUUUUGACAGGUUUGUUGUUUCUUUUAAAUCCUCCUCUAAUUCUAAAAGAAAUAGUUGCUUUUUUUGGAGAAUUUAACCUGAUUUGUAUUACUUCUAUACUUCUAAUUUAUUUUCUUAUUUUCUACGGCAUUGGAUACUUUAGCAUCUGCUGUAGUUAAUUGAUGUCUGGUGCUUCUCCUCAUUAUCUAUAUUCACUUUUACCUCUGAAGGUAUGCCAAUGUAUCUACAUAUAUAUAUAAUAUAAUUUUUGUUCAGUGCUAUAUGUAUAUAUUCUAAGUUGUUUAGAACAAACUAUUAAUUUGAAGAUUACAACUCCGAAGUUAGAGGGAUGUAUCACAGCUCUGUUUUGCAGCUGACAGGUGACUCUGCCUCUGAGACAUUCCAACGCCUCUCGUGAGGGACGCAGUGAAAUAAAUGCUUUGUGCCAUCUACCGGUGCCGGUGGGAGCUGCGCGUCAGCUCGGGGCCGGAGUCGGGACGGACUCAAGCGUGCACUGCGGGAAAAGAAGGAACCUCGCUGGAGAUAAAGACAUAAAAUAAUAAACAGCAUUCCAGUUAAGUGCUGACUAAUGUUAAACAUGUGCAAAUUAACUCACGCAUUAACCCAUUUUCCACUCCUGCCUUCCCAAGCGUGCCCUACAACUUCAUCCCCAUUUUUAAAGACUCUGAAAGCAUUUUGUUUUGCAGGUAGGUCAGUCAUGUUUUAACAGAGUGGAACAGUCCAAGCUGAUGGUGUAGAGUGUGCUGUGAAUGUGAAUAUGGUUUGUCUAGACCUGUUACUCUUUCUAUAAUAAUUCAUAAUUACAAUGUAUAUGAUGAUCACUUACAAUUAAAUAUAACUCCCCCAAACACAUUCUCCCUCAUGGCUUUUCUCUGAUGCUUAUUCCUUUGUUAAGCAUGGAGUUAUAAAGCUGCUGGGAUGGGAGACUCCAGCCUAACUGAGUGCAGGGUUAAAUAAGGCCUUUUGGCUGAAACCUCUUUGUAUCCCACAGCCUCAUAAUAGGCUAUUGUAUUUUCUGGGGUUUUUAUAAGGCUCAGAUGUCACACUCAAUUCUUGGUUGUUUCAGUGUCAUCAGUGUUAUCACUGAUGUGUUUAAUACAUUUGCUGUACUUUCUGAUCGUAAAUAUUAUUUGUUCUUUCUUAGCUGGUUUUUAAUUCUUUAUCUCUCAAGGGCAUAAAGAGCAGAUCCACAAAUGCCCCAGUGUCCUUCUAGUUACGAUUGUUCUGUGCAAAGGGAGAAAAUCCAAGAAAUUAUUAGGGAAAAAAACCAAACAAACACCCCAACCAACCAAACAAAAAAAUUAAAACCCCAAAACUGAAAUAUCCAAAUACAAUUUAGAAUAUUAUUUGCUUUGGUAUCAUGUUCAAGGAUCCAGACACUUCACUUGCUUCCAAACUCAAGAACUCAUUCCCAGAUGAAGUGUAACCUUCAGGUGACACACCUGGCCUAGAAAUGAGGAUUCUCUGCUUCAAGUAAAACCCAGUUUAUUCUGCCCAGGAGGGAGGUAUUUUCUUCAUUUGCAAAGGGUUUUUAGAUGUUUUUGGUUAAAAAUACUGUAAAAGCAGCUAGUAAUGUAUUUUUGUGCUGGUUUUGAUAUAUGUAGUUAGUGAUCUAAUUGUAUAUACUUUGAAAAGUUGGAUGGGUGGGAUAUUAAAUUUCUUUAAUUUCAAGUUAUCUAAAGGCAUAUGUAUUACAACAUGUUACCUGCGACAAGUACAGGUACAAAAAUCAAUACAGUAAAUUAGUUUGAUUUUAGAUUGUACUUCAAAGUGCAAAUAUUGAUUUAAGCAAAAACAGUAUUGUUUUCAGCAAAGCAGAAUUUCAUCCAAGAAUGAACAGGUGGAUUAAAUACAAUUUUAUAGAAAAAUACUCCGCUUUUUAAUAUUUCAGUUUUUUCUUCUCUUGCCGGUAAAUGUCCCAAACAGUCAUCUUUGCUUUUUUUGUGACUGAUUGUUAUGCCUGGGAAAACGAACUGCAGUAAGUGCACAGUUAACAUGUUUCAUGGAGGGGAAAAGUAGUUAAUUAUUGCUACAGUUCAGCUACUACGAUCAGAGCAGUGACUCAUGCAAGUGAAGCAUAUAAUUGUCCAUGUAAUUUGUUUGAAGUCAGCUGGGUUCCAACAUUCUUGUUCCUGUGUAUAGCUGUUAAUUUUUCUUUAGUUAUUUUCCCUUCAAAAUGUGUUGGAAUUUGCUGUGAGGUUGGGGUUUUUUAAUACAUUAUUACAUUUAUACAUAUAUAUAUGUAUAUUGUUAGAAAAGUAUCAAGUUGUGUCUGACAGCCGGAGAAGGGCAAAAUUGCUGCAGCUCCAUGUCCCCCAUGUAUCAGGAGCAAGGCUGAAAAUAUUUCCCAUAAGACUCUGGCACAGCUCACAUAUUCAUUGUUUAAACCAGAAGAAAAUCUUGAUUUCUAUACUCCUCCUUAUUCCCUUUUUAAUGACUGUUGUUACUACUCUUACACUCUUUGUCAUCUGCAAAAGGCUGUGAAUUUGGGUUAGAUUCACUCCAGUGGGAAGUACUGUAGACUGGAAUUUAAAACUAACCUACUUUGUAUAGGUGGAAGAAAAGAACACACUUUUACUCUGGGCAAGCUGGAAACUUCUGCUUAGGUUUGAGGCAAACUUUUACCUUCUUUAAUAUACUAAACACAUUUUGUUUUCAACAUUUUGGAAUCACGAGAAAAUGGCUGAGGAUGAUCUAACAUUUGCAGGUUUAUGCAAACAUUUUUUAGUAGAUCCUACUCUAUCCAAGUGAACUAAAAGCAAUGUUUUUAAACAAAUUUAAACAAAUGAGGAGUACUUUUCACUAAUAACUUUUUUUCUCCUAAAUUCCAAAAGCAUUUUCUGUUCCUCUGUAUUUUGAUCUUGCUGUCAUGGGUAGAACUGGCAGAAAUCCCACACCUUCCAUAUGCCAUGUGUACCUAUAUCUGUAAGGUUCUUAUACAAAUCCCAUACUUUAUAGGCUUGUGCCCAUGCAGAGCACAGUUGUCUUGCUUUUGUUCCCAACACAGGUGAGUUGAUUUCAAGACAAUGUGGUAGAAAAUAUUUCUUUGAGACAGGAACUGGUAGGUUCUGUUUAAUUCCAGCAGCAGGGCCCCAGGGUCCACCAUUGCCCUAAAAUCACCUGCAGAAGGAUUCAUGGCUCUUAGCAGGCUUUCAUCCUGCUGAGACAAGGAAAGAAGUAACAGCCACCAGUCACCAACUGCUGACCUAGAUUAGUCAGCAUACAGUUGUUUUUUGUCUUCAGAGGACAUCUCUGAAGUGAUGGAGAGAAGCUGAGAUACUGCAGGAGGAUAUGAAGAGCCAAUUGGGGUGACUCUUAACAUCUUCCAUCGUUUAGUCAUGAGGUUAAAAGAUAAGGAAAAUCUCCUUUGGGAGGAGAUGUGAUUGGAUAAUACUGGUAUAAAAUAGAAAUUACUGUCAGUGGUGAAAAUACGCCUUUAGAACGGAAUCAAUACUCUUCUGGGCAUUAUGGGAAACAUGGAAUUUAGUUAUACAAAGUACAUUAAUUAUUCGUUAUUCAGUGGAUCACUAAAAACUAGGAAAGUUAUUCUGGAUGCAAGGGUUCCACCAUAGACAAAACUCUGGGCUUUGGCAGGUGUUGUUCAUCCUAAAGGAAUUCUAUUGCAGAAAAUGGAUGAUAGAUCCUUGGGUUGCAGGAAGUCUUGUGCUGUUCCCCUGAGUGGAACUAAAAUCAAAUGGAAUUAAUCUCUCAGGGUUAUGUUUUGUGCCUGAGAAAAUAUAGUGAAGGCAAUACACUGGUCACGGUAAAGCACUAAAGUUUAAUCUCUUACUUUCCUAUUGUCAAUAAAACUAAGCACGGCCUAACAAGCCUGGGACAGCCUUCCAAAGCUUUGCAUCAAACCCUUCUGUCUCCAUGUCUUCCCUGAUAUUCUGCACAUUAGGAGCAAACUCCUCCAUCCCUUCACCAUGAAACUCUUGCACUUUAUUUUUUUGCUGCCUUCUGUACUUGACUGUACAGCCCUGCUUUUUUAGCACCAGUACAGGAGUGCUGCAAGCUCCUCCUUUGACCUCAUAAGGCUUCUGUUCCUGCUUACCCAGCCAGGUCUUCCACAUGCCUUCUGCGGCACUGCCAUUCCUUUCCAUGUUCCAGGACAACAGGGGACAGACAGCUGGCCUUGAAAGUCCAGCAAACUCAGAGACAAGCUUCUCUCUGCUCCUAGAGUUCAUAACCUUAAAGGAGCUCAGCACAGGGUCCAGCCCUUUGUGCUUCUAAGGAAGGCUGUUUAUGUUGGAAGGUGAAAGAAGGAAAGGUGAAGGAUCACAAAGGAGAGAACACUUCUUCAAGGCAGACAUUUGAUUCUCUUGUUUUGGACUUAAGAGCAAAACCAUCUGCAUGGUACAAGCAGUGCCAGGCAAAGGCUGGCUGCUAUCCCUGGGGGUCUGGCAGGACAGGGAGCAGGAGCUGGAUUUCUCACAGGUCAAAAGAGAAAGUUUGAGGAAGAACAGGAAAGUGAGAAGUAUGGGUAUCCUUCCUCUUCAAGCUGUCUUUAGAAAAGCAGGAGAGGUUAUUAAAAAAAAGUUGUGUGGAGAUAAGACAUUGCUACUCCUUAUAUUUAGGGCCCCAAUUUGCAAAAUCAGCUUCAGAUCCACAUGUGUCAGGUGGGUCAGAGAUUUGAUGAAAAGAUGUCUGUUCUCAGUGUUUUCUGUGCUUAUGACAAAAUAACAGCCUAUGAGCCUCAUUCUCCUUGCUUUACAGUAAAUACAACACAAACUUCUCUACACACUGGAUCAGAGUCUCAUUUAUUUGCAGCAGGAACUGUGUAGCAAAUCACCUCACUCCCGAUUUCCUCUCCUGCUGGAAUUUUCACUUUGUCCCAGCGGUUUUGCUCCCGGUUUUAUCCCUGGCUGUUGGAAUGUGCACGAGCACCAAAGCGAGGGGCUGCGCUGGGAAAGGUCAGGCCAGCCUGGGGCACAGCGAGGAGCCGGCUGGGCAGUGGAAAGUUACAGCCCUGAGCUGCUGCAGGAGCUGCCCCGCUCCUCGGGAAAUGUGAUACCUGCUCCCAGAGACCGUGUGGAAAAGGCUGAGUACUCUUCUUCGAAGCGCUCCUCUCGUUUGAGGGGAUUUUAGAGUGAUUUAUCAUGUAUCUUUAUUAGAGGAAAUUUGCUUUAAUCGCCCUAAUCUAAAUCUGUUGCUUAUAGUGCCAGGGACUGCAAAUAUUAGUGUUUUAUCAGUAUUUCUUCAUUGAAAACUAUUGUGAUAUCAAGCAUGAUAAUUCUGCAUGAAAAUGAUAUCAAGCAUGACUCAGUAUGAGAAGAGUGAUGGACAAAAAUAGGCCAAUUCUUUUCAAAUCCUAUUCUGUCUUUAGUCCUUCCCUGUGUAUUGUACCAGAGCCCAUGAACACAGCUGAGCAAUAAUAUUUGCUAGUAGCUGUUUGUGUUUCCAGUGGAAAUCAGUAGUAAAUCCCAGUGUAAAACUGUUUUUCAUCCACAAGGUCUGUUUGUCCAAAUUUCAUUUGCUGGAUGUAACAUGGAAUUUGUCUUUCUGCUUUUGGUAGGAACUCCUUCAGUGAUGUUUAAUUUUACAUCACAUUCUAGUAACUGCUAUAGAAAAGAUCUGGGUGAAGGUUCAUGACAACAGUCCAACUAUUUGGCACAGGUUUUCUGUAAACAAAUCAGUGAGUUGUUUAACCAGUGUGAAGUAAGAAUUUCCCAAUGCCUUUUGAAUGAAUGUGCUGCAGUUACAAAGAGAUUUCAUUAACUAAUGUGAACCUUCAAAAGAAAAGGAAGAACAGGAAGAAAAUCUAGUGAAAUGCAUGUUACAAUUGUAGGUGGAGCUGUGGAUCAUGCAGCAUGUUUUGGGUAUGGUUAUUAUGGAAAGGAUGGGUUUUUCCCUACUGUGAACUGACUAUUCUGCUUAUAUUUCAAUAAUGCCUCAAGUCUGAUAAGAUAGGGAGCUGAUCAGAAAUUGCUGGUCUUGGGAACCCUGUGAGACCUAAACCAGCAGUAAUCUGGGCUGUCAUGGACCUGAAAGUGGUUUGGCCAUUCUAUUUAGAGACACACCAAAAUAUAGAUAUACUUUAUAGUGUUUGAAAUACCAGUAUGUCUCUAGAGACUUUAAUCAGAAAAGAUAAGAGUUGGAGCAAUUCAAAGACAAGGCAUGUUGUCAGUUCAAGGUGGCUUUAAAAUACAGGGCAACCUGUGUGGUUGUAAGUCCUAGGAAGUGCAUCACUCACUGAUGACUAAACUCUGACACUGCACAGAGACAAUUCAGAAUAUGAGUUUAGUGUAUCGGUAGAAAUGUGAUUUACAAUGCUGGUCAGAGCAAGCUGAUAGCAGCCACGAAAAUGAAGCUACAUAGAUAAGCUUUGGCAAUAUAUCACAUAAGUGUCCUGCAAAUUGCUGAGCAUUUAGCAUCUGCUUGCUACUAUUUUGCACAUCCAUUCACUGUGAGACGCCACGUGUUAGCAAAGAAUUACUCGACUCAGUAAUGACAAUUUUUUUUUAUGUUGUUUUGAUGCUUCUAAUGUGCUGUUCACACAGGAAGCCAGUCAGGCUGGUUUAAGUGGCUACUCAGCUUUGUGGUAGUGGGAGUAAGAGAGCCUCUAGACAGGAAUCCAACUCCAAAAUUCUGUUUUCCAGGAUCUGCAUUACCCAUGAAACUCUCAGCCUUAGGUGUUCCUCACAAACUGCUCUAUAAAAUGCCAUGGUGAUAAGGUCCACGGAUGACCACCAAGGGACCAUAUGGAAAAAGGGCUGAGACCUAUCUUCUAGCCUUGCUCCUGACCACUUGACUGAACAUUGACAGUUUUCCUGAGCUCUAUUCCCACAUCAGUGAAAGAGAGAAAAGCAAUGUUCUGAGCUGGAUCCGUGUCCCCAUUCAGUUAAAUAUCUAAUCAUGCUCUUUUCCAUGAAGAGUGAGGUAAGAUGAUAUUUGUCACUUCAUUGUAAUAUCUCAGUAUGUUCAGGAAAGUGCCUUUUCUGAGACAUAUACAGGACAAAAAAAGUUCAAGCACACAUUCUGAACUUAGGAAGAUUCCUUCUGUGUGGAAAUUCUGUCCUCUAACAGGCCAUUCAGUUACCUCAUGUGGAAAGAGAGCUUUUGCUCAGCAACCAGAGGGCUAAAACACAAAGAGAGGACUCUCCUUGUUCUUGACAUCCUUCUCUUUAGUGGCCUAUGCAGCCAAAUUAUUCUUCCAUUUGAAAAGCCAGUUCUCAGUUCUGGCUGCACCUGGCAGCAGCAUCACAACUUUUUUGUGAUAUUAACUGAAUAAAGGAAGAUAUGUCAGACUUGCAGCGUACAACACUUGGAGGUGGCACUGAGACAUGAAUGUGUAGUUCAUUAACAAAGGUAAGCAGGAGGAUGAUCUUCUGUUGCUCUUUAGAAUACCUUGGGCAGGCUCUGAAAAGGCCAAAUCUUUCUUUUUCUUAAAGCUUAAACAGUUCCAGAUGCCUUUAAGACAAGAAAUAAGUAGCAGAUAAGUGAGCAUUGCUUUUCCUUUUCUAACAGACUCCCCCGAGGUGCCAGGGAUGCUUUGUGACCUCUGGCAUGACUCUUUCAAUGGGGCUGCAGAGCCAAUACGAGCCCAGGCUGCUCUCAGAGUGCCUUGGACACUUAUCAGUGACCGUGGAGCUGUUCAGUGUGAGUCUGGCAGGGUGGCAGUGACUUGCAGGGCUUGUUUAGCAUUCCUGGAGGCUGCAGGGGAUCAGCUCCAGCACUAACAGAGCUCACUGCAGUUCACAGCCCUAUGCUUUGGCUAUGGCUUGUACUUAAAAUCCAUCCCUGGCCAGUAAGUGGCCACAGGUUAAAGGAAUGGCACGCUGCUACUGAUUAGGAGUGCUCUGUGACCCACUUGGGAGAGCAGAAGGGAUCUACUAGAGACUAUAAAAAAAUUGAUUGAAUUUAUCUGCCUAGUUAACUGGCGGUCUGGGAAAAGAAAUCUUGCUUAAUGCAACAGAUUGUUUCAAAGUAAAAAAAAACCAAACAAACCCAAGCUAUAAUAGGAUUUGGAUGGAAGACUUUGCCUUUUAAACUGGACCCCCACACCAAGAAAACAUAAAUUUUUCUUUUUACUGUUAGGAGUUUUUUUCCCCCAUUUGACUCCAAACUCAGUAUCUUAACUUUAGUGGGUUUAAAACAAACAAUUGGAAUAUGUGUACUUGGAGCCAGUCCUAUGGUUCUAGGAAAUUCAAAGUUGGUUUAUAUAGUUUGGGCUUCCUGUAGGAAUAAAAAAUACUAGUCCCCUGGUAGCAUAGCGGUGUAUGGCUGUAUUGAAAUGGAAUUCAUUGUCUCCUGAGCUUGCUGGGUCACAGUAUGUCCCAUGGCAUUCUAAAUACCCUCAGACUUAACACUGGAUUGGCUGCAGGGCAGUGAAGGUAAAAGAGGAAUGUUCUGCAUUGAUAAACCUGACACCAAGCCCAUAUGGGAGAGAUAGUGACUAAAAGGAUCCUGGGUUACUCUGCAUGGCCCUGUGUGGGUCUGUGAAGGGGCAAAGCCUGGGGUCUGUCUCCAUUUUAACUGCUGGUGCCAGCAGAAACUUUUCUGUUAAUUUUAGUAUUAGAUCCCCACAUGACUGUGGAGUUUGAUGUUUAACUGUAUCAUGUGUCCUCUUCUAGCAAACUCUGAAAUGACUGAAUAAAAGUAGAGUCACACAGGACUAAUGGGAGUUUUGAUUGUUGUUGUUGUUUGUUUGUUUUUUGUUAAAGAGCACAAUAAAAUCUUUCGUAAAUUCUGAAGAAAUCCAAAGUGCUGCAUGUGAGGCUUUACUGCCACCUUUCUUUUCGGCACAGGGCUGGUGUUCUGCAGCUCUGGGUAUUGAGUGAUUCGACAUCCUGGGAGAAAAAGCUGUCCUGGCUGAGGGGCUGCUCCCUGCAUUUAAACUGAGAGCUGCCUGACCCACCCAACUUUUUAUUGAGAUUACUCUUGGUUCUGGCACAGUGAGCUUCCCUUUCUCCUGAGCUGGCUGUAACACAGAACACAGUGAAGAACAUUUCGGUGGAGUUACUGGAGGUGAUGGGCCUGACUCACCAUGACUGAAACGUGUAAAAAAUGAUGAUCUCUGUAAAAGUCACAACAGAAUUGUCCAGAUCUUAUCUGGGCAUCUAGAAGAGAUGAGAAUCCCUCUGCUCAGGAGAAUGGGAUGCAAUAGAGGUAUCACUCAUUGCAGCAGGAAAGAAUUCCACAAGAUCCAGACAGAGGUAUUGUGUGUGUUCCUGGUUCAGGCCAGUGUUAUGGGUAUGCCUUACCUCUUGGCCUUGAUUGCAGGCACUAUGAACUUCUCAAGGCAAGAACAGGGUGUUUGGAAAGUGCUUGGCGUGUCAUGGAUCCUACUAGGAAUAAUAAUAAUACUCAGAAAAAAAGGAUUUCUUGGUUUUAGCAUGAGGCAAACUUCUUGUCAAAAGUGCUGACCAAUUGAGUUGAAAUAUGCUUGCAUUUGGUGUGGGUUCUGAAAGUGUUAAACCUUAUAAAAGCUUUCAUGCUGCUGAAUUCACCCUUCAGGGAAAGUCACUGGAAGUCUGGGACCUGUUGCUCAACACAGAAAGAAGCAGAGCACAAUAAAAUUUUGAGCAUCUUCCCCUUAGGCCUCAAGGCUCCAAAUCCUGUGAGAAGGUUGGGUUUUGCUGAAUGAUGGGAGGGAUAAUGUUGCAUUCCCUACUCAGAAAGCAGCUGCUAGGUCUGGCAUUGGGAUGGGGCUGGGAAGUGGAGAGGAAUUCAGAGUCCUGAAGAUCUUCUGGCUCCUCCUCUGCCUCACUAGACAUUUGUAGAAGCUCUUUUUCUGCAGCAGUGAAGAUGAUACAUGGAUGGAGCUGGGCUUCCAGGAAUGCUCUUGGAGCACGUGGGAUGCUGGGCCUUGUUUUUCUUGCCUCAGUGCUCACUGUGCCCACAUCCAUUCUCUCAGGUAAACAGAGUUGUGAUUUCUCUCUCCCUUCUCCUCCAUGUAGAACUGGAACAUGUGUUCCACUGGGCACCUUCAAAGUAGGUUAAGGGGCUGUCUGGUGCUUAAACAUCAAAAUAAUGUUGUGACCUCGUAGGUAUAAGCGGGUUUUGAGGCAAUGGUGUGAUUCCAGGUAGUGCUUGUGGAAUGGAUCUUCCUCCUCUGGUAAAUUAUCUGUUUUCAGGUGAUGCCACCCAGCUGUAAAUGUUGCUGCUUGUUCACAUCACCCCACAAUUCCUUCAUUUUGGUCUUCUGCUUGACUGGGACUGCAGCAGAGUUCUGACACAAUCUCAGCCAGGGUUCUGUUGUUCCUGAUUGAAGUCAAUGAGUGCUCUUAGUGCACACAAAAAAUUGCAACCCAGUGAGGCUUCCACCCACUCCCUGACAGUCCUCAAGGAAAUGUCAGCAGCCACUGAUGGGAAGAGGCCUCCUAACUCAGAGUGAGCCCUGUUUCCCUUUGCAGUGCCUGUUUCAGUGGGAAAUGUGUAUUUUUAAUUAUCUGCUGUCCUUAUUUGAAGAGAUGUGUCCCUGCACUGUAUAAAUGUACUCCUUCUUGUUCCUUGAGGUUUGAAGAUGCCCGUAAAUCAUCCCAGCAGGAACACCAAGCAUCAUAGUCUUAAGAGCAUUCUCUUGGCCAGAUUAUUCCCCUACAGCUCUGGGGAAGAGUGAAAUUGGGAAGGAAUCCUAAUGGAGAGACCAGAAGUGAAGAGCUACAGUCUCCAGCAGCCUCAGCUGAGAGGUAGAGAGCCCUGAGCAUGAAACUUUGCUGCAGAUGUGGAGAAAGAUGAAUCUGUUCCAUCUCCCACACAGCUGGAGAAGGGGCAGAGUAUUAAUUAAAUUGGAGGACACAAGAGCCUGUCUGGAAGGGAUUCUGCAUGGAGAGGAGGUGCAAACCCAGAGGAACAACAUGAAAUGCAGCCAGAUGUUCUUCUAAAAUGGAAGAGUUAAAAAUCCAAGCUCAAAGAAAAGGAAAAAAGGAGAAAUCUUUAUUCUAGAAAAUGAGAAACUGCUUAUCAGAGGAAAUGUGGAUGUGUGAUGCCAGGAUGGGGCAGUUUGCUCUCCAGUUCCUGUGCUUCCUCUGAGGUGGUUUGACUUUUGAAAUAUAUAAAAGGUGACUUGUUGUUUGUUUCUUGUACUGGAAAAGAUGGAACGGGGAAAGAGGGCAGAUUUUGCACCACUAAUGUGCAAAUAUGCAAAUAAUGUGCAAAUAGAGGCAUUCCCUUACUGUCUGUUGAUAUUGAAAACAGCCUGAAAUGGCUUUUUAGCUUUUGACUGGGAAAAAUAACAGGAAUAAUCAAAGGAUCUUAUUAGUUAGAAAAGAAGCAAGCAGCCUCAACAUGAAUUUUGUGUUUGCUGUGUUGUGAAGAGAAACAACACUAUAUUGGUGGUGGCAGUGAAGAUGAAUUCUGGGGAUGUAGAUAAGAUAUCCUAAUGCUUCCAUGUUCUCCAGGGAUGUCAGUUAGCAGGUAACAAGUCUGAUCUGGGGCUAAGGGGAAUGGAUAGAUAAAAAAAUCCAGUCUAACAGGUCAGAUCCUGAGAACUGAGUUGUACUUCCUGCAAAGUCAAUGGUAGGGAUCUUCCUGGAAUAAAUGCUUGGAAAUGUGCUGUUAAGUGCUUUUCUGUCACACAUCCCUCUUUUCUGAAGCUGGGAUCCAGGCCCGAUCAGCAGUUAGCCACUGAACACCUGCCCCAGUACAAAAUGGCCAAGUUUAUCCAGAGAGCUGAGAUGCUGCAACAAGUCACCCUCACUUUCCUGACCUGCAGUUUCCAAUGCUCUGGAGCACUGGGAUAUGGUUGGAAUUGUGCUCUAGGAAAAUGUUACCCCUGGAACAGCUCUGUUAAUCUCUAGCAAGUCACUUGAAACCUGCAGUGCUGGCCCAGGCAUUCAGUGCAAACAAAGCACAAGCUGCUGUAGCACAUUUGUGUCAGGGUUUCCUGAUUCCAAGUGCAGUCAGAUACAGCCUAAAAUGAACCAUUGUUGUAACAAUGACAAGAGAGGCUGGGGUGAAAAUCAUGUUAUUUCCUUUGGAAAGAAAAGAGUUCUAUUUUUAACUAUUUUCCCCUUAAUCUUACUAUUUUGUUCUACCAGUGUUUAUAGCAGAGAGUACAAUACUUCUUGUUGUGAUUGUUCUUUGUGUGACUGGGAUAUAAGUAGAUGUUCUGCAGCAAAUUGUCCGGGAUACAGAGUCCAAAGAGAUUAUGCUGCAGGAAGUUCUAAAAAAAAACCCAAACCCUUACACAAUCCCCCACUCACUCCCUCCAAAAAGCCAUAACCCAAACAAAUAAAAACCCUGAAAGACUGUCAUAGUUCCAAAAUAGCCACCAAAAAUAUGUGCUAGGCUUAAAACAGAAGUCUGGGGGAAAUGAUUGUCAGAUCCCUGGGUGCAUUUGAGAACUGAUUUAUGUACAUGAAACAGAAAAAAAAGAAAAACACACUUGGGCUGUGCUUGUGUGUUCUCACUGAGAUAAAUGAACAGCUCCUCUCAUUCUUUGCUUCCCCAUCUUUAUUAGCAGUCAUCUGAUCUUCCCUCCCCUUCUGCAUCCACUAAUCCUCACCAAAACGGCUGGAAAGAACUUCUGUUCUUUUUGGAGUGUUUUCCUGAGAUUAUUUCUACUACUUCAGCAAGCUCAGUAGAGUUACUGGAUGCUCAGAAGGACUUUUUGGUCUGGACUUUACAAACCUUGGACCCUGUUCAACAGCCAGGAGAGAGGAGAGGGACUGCUCCCUGUCACCUGAAACAAACUUAGUUCAUUUCAAACAGUUCUUUGAGAGCAGACAUUGGUAAAGUAUAAAAAAAUUCACAGGUACUUUACCAAGUACAUUCUUCUGCUUCAGCCCUUUGUUCUCAUUUAUGUAUCCACAGCAAUCAAUGCACAAAUUACAAAUAAUUUAUCAGGCUAUGAUAUUUUCCAUUGUUUUGCAGGACGCUGCCUGAAGGAAACAGCAGAGCUGGAGGCUUGUGUUGAGUGGGUGAUGUAUGAAAGGAGACUGUGGCAGUGAGUUAGGAUGGAGCAUAAGUCACAAAUAAAAGGGAAGCAGAUUUUCAGCAGCUCUGUGUUCAUUGUUUAGACAAUGUGUUUUACUGAGGCUCUGAUAAUCUAAUAUUUAAAGAAAAAUCCCCAAAUCCAACCCCAUAGUAGAAACUACCUGGUUACUGCAAGAUGAUCUGUGUAAGUGGACAAAUUGGGAUGUGCAGCUUCUUUGGAUAAUUUUGUACUCUGCUCUGAGAAACCUCCAGGCAUCUCAUCUACAGACUUGGCUCUUUUAUCCUAAUAUUUAUCCCUUCCAGAAUGUCUUUUGCCUGAGGAGUUCAAAGCUUUUUGCAGACUUUGUAGAGCUUUCUUUGUCAAGAUACAAGACUUGUGAGAACGUGAUGGAAAGCAGGGACAGUGCUGGAAGGUCCUGGAUGUUCCCCCCUUGGUUUCCCUGCCCCUUCAGCUGCCAGCAGAAGCAGGGAAUGGAAAUUCUUUGGGAUGUGGCAACUCUGACUCAAAAAGAGUACUAUUCCACAGAACCAUCUUCCAGGGUGAAUUUUAUUUUCAUUUAGUGUUAAAUCGAGUGCAGUCACAGGUUACCAGUGCAGAGUUCAACUGGGUGCCCUCAAAUAGGAUUUUGGGAUUUUCCACAUUUUGUAGCUGCUGGCUCUGUAUGAGGGUGGGAAAGCAGAGAGCUGAGCUGGUUGUGGUGCUGCCUGUGAGGUGUCUGAGAGAGAAUUGACUAUUGCAUAAACCUGAACAGCUUUUUCCUAGUUACCUUUUACACAAAGUUGAAUAUUACCCAGGAGUUGUGUGGCUGGUUGGCAACUGAGGGCUUUUUCUGGGUAACAGUGAGCUGCCUUUCAGUGGGAAAGGGAGGAGAGGGAGCUGUGGGAACAAGAGGGGCUGUGUGCCAGUUCUCAGGGUCAGGAACAAGCUGGAACAGGCAAACAGGUACCCAGUGAGCUCCUGGAGCAGAGUUCAACUCAGCCUCAGCUCACUAGGCCUGAAGUAAAUCAGCAUUAACAGAGCACCAGGAGAAGGAAGGCUUCACCCAGGGAUAAACUGAGUCUGCUUAACAAGCAAGGGAUACAGGAACUCUCACUGCCCUGGGAAGUCUCAUCAUUCUGCUGUAUCACAGAUUUUAUGAACCCAUUUGUAGGUGUGUGUUCGGAGUGGAUAUUUUGCAUGAGCAGCCCCAGAUGAACUGCAGCACUUUGGGCUGGAAUUCUGCUGAGCAAUGUUUGCAGCUGCAGUUUUGGUUAGAAGACUCAGAGUUCAAAACCCCAAACUGGUCCUUUUUGAGUGCUGUUACCUCACACGCAGCUGUUUGUGAGGCUGAUCUGAGAGCUCAUUGCUGGAGUAGCUGGGAUGGUGCCCUUGGCAAUUCCAGUACCUUGGGGAUGAAGGUGUUACAGGAUGGAGCUCCCCAGAGCAGAGCUUAAAGAAUGGCACACACCAAAAGCUGAUUUUUUGAUUGUUUGCUUUUACUACUUAUUGCAAGCAUACUCUGUGUGUCUUUUACCCAUCUUAGAAAAAUGUGGGAUGGCAUGGGAGACACAUUAAAAAGUACAGCAAGUUAACCUGAGAACAAGGUACACCUACAAAUGUGGAAAGCUGUGUCUGAAAUAAUCUGAAUAACGUGGUUUGUACCAGUCCAUUAUCCUGGCAACCAGAAUUUCCAAGCUGUGUUGGUAGCCUGGUUGCUACAGUUAAUCAGCAACCUGUCUAAUCUCACUAACCUUCUUUUUGUAACCUGCCUAACUAUUGUGUAAUCUGCUUAUGGCACUGAGCACUGACUAUUAGUAAAGUUUGGAGCUGUGCAAGUGCAAAUAAUUUUGUUUUCAGUCUUGUUCACAGCUGGCUUCCAUGGUGUUUGUGCUCAUGAAAUUAAACCUGAUCUCAUGGCAUUAAUGAUGAGAAAACAAGAGUAUUUCUGGCCUGUUGACAUCUGCUUCCUCUGUGCCACAGCCCCUGAACCUGUGGGGGGAUUGUCCCACUGGCUAAUCCUGGGAUGUAGUUCCGUGGGACAGGGAUCUUGGCUGGCCACAGCUGCUGGGGGAAGUCCUGCUGGCCCUGUCACCUGCUGACCUUCACCCCCUCCCACCCUCUUCAUGCCUUAGCCCUGGGACCCCUGACUUCUCUGCUCCAACUGACUGCUGGGAUUUUAGUAUCAGGAAUUUUUCUGAUGCUAUUUGUAAAUUCUUAGUUCAUUCCUCAAAUUCCUGGAAUUCCUAUUAAAGAAAGAAGUAAUUUUGAGUUUUGCUGGAGUAUGCGAAGGUUUUUGUGUGUGGGUUUGGUUUUUUUUUUUUCCUAAAGCCAAGUAAUUACCAGAAAAGAUGUAAAACUAUAAUUCCACUGAAGGAUGAGGACAGAUACCAAACUAUUUUUAAUUUUAUCUCAUUUUAUGUACUUUAUAUUAUUUCAUCAGUUUAAUGUUUGUAAGCCAACAGCUGUCAUAUCUUGUAAUAAUGGACUAAACAGUAUUCCUAGACAAAUGUAUUCUGUAUGCAAAACUCAUGUUUGACUUCAGCUUGUGGACAAUGGGACAGACACACUGUCAGAAAUAAUUAAUAAUAUAUCUUGAUCUUUAGAGUGCCUAUAAUCUGCCAAGCUCAGGCAAAUGUUCUGCUUGCUGCCAUUAGAGAAGCCUUGAAAAUUCUACAUGAGACCAUAAUUAAUUCCAAAACAGGGAUGGCUUUAUAUAUUUUCUUCAAGAAUUUGAAUUCCUUUGUUAUUCUCUUCAUCUGGAGCUGCUGUAAAAGGUAAUGAUGUAAUAAUAUUUUUUUCCUCAAAGAAAAAAAGAGCAUAACCUGCUUUGUGUUGUGAUAACUAUGAACAGGAGGGAAUGGCUUCAGAGGAAGCAACAUUGUAAAUACAAAAAGUGCUUCAAAAAGCACAAUAUCCCAAACUUCUGGCUUCUUAUUUCAGAAUAGAAAUAUAAUUAUUAU